ACUCUGUGAGCCCUCUAACCCCACAGGUGGCGUGGGGAGCUCUUCUAGAUGCAAUUUGAGCCACUGAUUCUGCAAGACUUGGAAAGCUCUGUAUUUCUACACUUCCCAGCCACAGCAGCAGGACGUAGGCAAAGCCUGCGUGUGCACAAACAUGCAGACGUCCGUGCGCACGCACCAAACACACGUGCACACCAUCGUGUGCAAAUUAUCUGUCUUCCAUUUGUGUUUGGCUUGGCUGCACAGCCUGCUCUCUGUGGGCUCAGCCAGUGGAUAUCCCGGCUCAGAUAAACAGCAGACAGCUGCUGGGAGUCAGAGAUAUUCUGGUGAUUAACAGCUGUGUGGAUCUAUGCAGCAGAGCCCCCCGACCCCUGUGAGCCCUCCUGAACAGGCUGUUUCUUUUCAGAUUUCUGUUUGUCAGGGGAAGGCUGGAAGUGAUCAGAGGAGAUUCUCUGUGAAAGUCACAGGUGGGAAACCCGGUGAGAAAAAGCUGCAGCCCCAAAUCCUGUCCCUUCCUCACCACAGCAGUGUUCGAGCUUUGCCAAUGGCUCCUGCACGGCACUGCAGUGCCAACGGCAACAACAAGACUGCUCAGCCCAAGCUUUCCUGAAUUCCCUAAGAUGGCAUGGGAUGCAGAGUUGAUCAUUUCCAAAGACCUGGGGACAUCCCAGUACGGUGCUGUGGUUGGAAGGAGGGCUUCUUUCUGCUAGAGAAGGGAGCAGAAAGGGAUGGAAAUCCAUCCCUGGUGUGGGAUGCCUUACUUACAAGCCAAAGGCUUUUUGAUGGAUGAAGGGGGUGAGAAGUAGGAAGUUGCUCACAAUGCGACUAUAAAAACAAAGUCAAGAGAUUAGUUAAUAAUGUGUGGUCUGAGAAAACAAACACGUCUUUCCAUAAAGACCCUAGUUCAAAUAAACCAGUGCUGUUGUCGUUAAGCCUCGCCAUCUGCACGCCUCUUCUCCACUGGGUCCAGUGUGAAAUUUAAAGGGACCACUGAGUGGAGGAAGAGUCCCCACACAUCAUCCUGUGGGGCACUUCAAAUCC
ensembl:lncRNA